CUGGUACCUCCUCCGUUCCGAAUUACUUGUCGCAGGUCGGUAGGUAUGGAUGUAUCUAGAUGUAUUUUAGUUCUAGAUACAUCUAUUUCUACGACGAGUAAUUUGGAACAGAGAGAGUACAAU
rfam:Triticum urartu cultivar G1812 contig1192110, whole genome shotgun sequence.